rnacentral:misc_RNA from 1 species
CCAUCAUUUUCCAGAAAUCAAACACAUUGUUCUAGCGCAGAAAAAUCUCAUCCCACUCGUAAAAACCCAAACCAAAAACACAAACUUUCACACAAUUGGUGAACUAAAAUCCAAUUCCAAACUCAAAACAUAAUUUCAUGCACCUGUUUUCCCAUGAAGGGUUUAAAUAAAAUAUUCAAAUAAUUGAUUCAUGCACCUGUUUUCCCAUACCAAAAACACAAACUGCAAUUGCAGUCGUUGAGAAGCUCAUCUCAUCUAACCCCUCCACUAGACGAUCCUUUGUCUCUCCGAUCACCGCCUCUGUUUCAGAAAACCCAUCUAUAGCUGCCUCAUCUGCGACUCUUUCGCCAACUGAACUUCCAAACUUCCACUUCGGCGAUUAUAUAUUGCCUCCCUUUCAUCAGUCCCAUUAAAGAUUGGCCUGAUUAUUUCUACAGUCAAGGCGAAGAAGAGUCCUUUAAAUCCAGAUCGCCCAUAAGUGCCAUUUGACAACCUUAAGGUCUUCGUCCCGAAAAGACUUAAGUGGAUCGGCCAUGCUGGAGUCAAGCUCCACGAACAAUUGCAUGCAUCGUAUACUUGAGGGAAG